rnacentral:rRNA from 1 species
UACGGGGGGAGCAAGCGUUGUUCGGAUUUACUGGGCGUAAAGGGCGCGUAGGCGGUCAGCACAAGUCAGUUGUGAAAUCUCCGGGCUUAACUCGGAAAGGUCAACUGAUACUGUGCGACUAGAGUGCAGAAGGGGCAACUGGAAUUCUCGGUGUAGCGGUGAAAUGCGUAGAUAUUGGGAGGAACACCAGUGGCGAAGGCGGCUCACUGGACCGGUACUGACGCUGAGGCGCGAAAGCGUGGGUAGCAAACAGG